GUAGGUGAACCUGCGGAAGGAUCAUUACCUAGAGUUGUAGGCUUUGCCUACCAUCUCUUACCCAUGUCUUUUAAGUACCUUCGUUUCCUCGGCGCGCUCUCAGCCGCCGAUCGGACAAUUUAAACCAUUUGCAGUUGCAAUCAGCGUCUGAAAAAACAUAAUAAUUACAACUUUCAACAACGGAUCUCUUGGUUCUG
rnacentral:misc_RNA from 1 species